GCCCCAGUAGCUCAGUGGAUAGAGCGUCAUUUUGCCGAAAUCGAAGGUCGGGGGUUCAAUUCCCUUCUGGGGUU
rnacentral:tRNA from 3 species